UCUGUUUGAGCCAUGAUGUGUGCAGUGCCCUGCUCAGGAUGGCGCUGAUUACAUACUCUAGGAGUGAUUAGCAUCUGCCUGGGCCGAGUGAUGCUCACUAAGAACCACCGUUUGUGU
rnacentral:precursor_RNA from 12 species